rnacentral:rRNA from 1 species
UACGAAGGGACCUAGCGUAGUUCGGAAUUACUGGGCUUAAAGAGUUCGUAGGUUGUUGAAAAAGUUGGUGGUGAAAUCCCAGAGCUUAACUCUGGAACUGCCAUCAAAACUUUUCAGCUAGAGUAUGAUAGAGGAAAGCAGAAUUUCUAGUGUAGAGGUGAAAUUCGUAGAUAUUAGAAAGAAUACCAAUUGCGAAGGCAGCUUUCUGGAUCAUUACUGACACUGAGGAACGAAAGCAUGGGUAGCGAAGAGG